rnacentral:rRNA from 1 species
AUUGAACGCUGGCGGCAGGCCUAACACAUGCAAGUCGGACGGUAGCACAGAGAGCUUGCUCUCGGGUGACGAGUGGCGGACGGGUGAGUAAUGUCUGGGGAUCUGCCCGAUAGAGGGGGAAAACCACUAGAAACGGUGGCUAAUACCGCCUAACGUCGCAAGACCAAACAGGGGGACCUUCGGGCCUCUCACUAUCGGAUGAACCUAGAGGGGAUUAGCUAGUAGGCGGGGUAACGGCCCACCUAGGCGACGAUCCCUAGCUGGUCUGAGAGGAUGACCAGCCACACUGGAACUGAGACACGGUCCAGACUCCUACGGGAGGCAGCAGUGGGGAAUAUUGCACAAUGGGCGCAAGCCUGAUGCAGCCAUGCCGCGUGUAUGAAGAAGGCCUUCGGGUUGUAAAGUACUUUCAGCGGGGAGGAAGGCGAUGUGGUUAAUAACCGCAUUGAUUGACGUUACCCGCAGAAGAAGCACCGGCUAACUCCGUGCCAGCCGCCGCCGUAA